UUUCGGUCAAGCCCGGGCUGUUCUAGUGGCGGACGGGUGAGUAACGCGUGGGCAACCUGCCCCGUACCGGGGGAUAACACCUGGAAACAGGUGCUAAUACCGCAUAAUAAGAGGUUCCGCAUGGGACCUCCUUGAAAACUCCGGUGGUACGGGAUGGACCCGCGUCUGAUUAGCUGGUUGGCGGGGUAACGGCCCACCAAGGCGACGAUCAGUAGCCGGCCUGAGAGGGUGAACGGCCACAUUGGGACUGAGACACGGCCCAAACUCCUACGGGAGGCAGCAG
rnacentral:rRNA from 1 species